rnacentral:rRNA from 1 species
CCUACGGGUGGCAGCAGUGAGGAAUAUUGGUCAAUGGUCGAGAGCCUGAACCAGCGAAGUCGCGUGAAGGAUGAAGGCUCUAUGGGUUGUAAACUUCUUUUAUGUGGGGAUAAAAUGCGGCACGUGUUCCUUUUUGUAUGUACCGUAUGAAUAAGCAUCGGCUAACUCCGUGCCAGCAGCCGCGGUAAUACGGAGGCUGCGGGCGUUAUCCGGAUUUAUUGGGUUUAAAGGGUGCGUAGGUGGUACGUUAAGUCAGCCGGGAAAGGUCGUGGCUCAACCAUAACACUGCGGUGGAAACUGGGUGACUUGAGUGCAUGUGAGGUAGGCGGAAUGCGUGGUGUAGCGGUGAAAUGCAUAGAUAUCACGAAGAACUCCGAUUGCGAAGGCAGCUUACUAAACUGUAACUGACACUGAAGCACGAAAGCGUGGGGAUCAAACAGGAUUAGAUACCCGGGUAGUC